rnacentral:lncRNA from 1 species
CGGUUACUACUUAAUGAAUUUAAAAGGAAUGGUUGAUUGGAAUGCUUGCCUAAGUUCUAUGAUAGAUGCAUCUCAUGUUGAAAGAAGUAUGGCAAAGUUUUCAGAGUAUGGCUCUUGUAAUUUGCAUUUUAGAACUAUAGACUAGGACAUUGAUUUUAACUACUUUAGCAGCAAGUACUGGUUUUGAAUCCUCACCUUCAAA